rnacentral:rRNA from 1 species
AUUGAACGCUGGCGGCAGGCUUAACACAUGCAAGUCGAGCGGGGGAAGGUAGCUUGCUACCGGACCUAGCGGCGGACGGGUGAGUAAUGCUUAGGAAUCUGCCUAUUAGUGGGGGACAACAUCUCGAAAGGGAUGCUAAUACCGCAUACGUCCUACGGGAGAAAGCAGGGGAUCUUCGGACCUUGCGCUAAUAGAUGAGCCUAAGUCGGAUUAGCUAGUUGGUGGGGUAAAGGCCUACCAAGGCGACGAUCUGUAGCGGGUCUGAGAGGAUGAUCCGCCACACUGGGACUGAGACACGGCCCAGACUCCUACGGGAGGCAGCAGUGGGGAAUAUUGGACAAUGGGGGGAACCCUGAUCCAGCCAUGCCGCGUGUGUGAAGAAGGCCUUAUGGUUGUAAAGCACUUUAAGCGAGGAGGAGGCUACUUUAGUUAGUACCCAGAGAUAGUGGACGUUACUCGCAGAAUAAGCACCGGCUAACUCUGUGCCAGCAGCCGCGGUAAUACAGAGGGUGCGAGCGU